UGCCGACAUGUUUUCCAGACGACU
rnacentral:siRNA from 1 species